GGCAGAAUAGCUCAGUGGUUAUCUUCGGAUUAGAGCAUCUCACAUGAUACGAGAAGGUCCCGGGUUCGAUUCCCGGUUCAGCCA